AAUCAACGCUGGCGGCGUGCCUAACACAUGCAAGUCGAACGAGAAAGUGGAGCAAUCCAUGAGUAAAGUGGCGACCGGGUGAGUAACACGUGACUAACCUACCUUCGAGUGGGGGAUAACCUCGGGAAACCGGGGCUAAUACCGCAUAACAUCUUCGGGAUGCGAAGCCGGAGAUCAAAGGGGCAAUUCGCUUGAAGAGGGGGUCGCGGCUGAUUAGCUAGUUGGCGGGGUAAUGGCCCACCAAGGCUUUGAUCGGUAGCCGGCCUGAGAGGGCGCACGGCCACACUGGAACUGAAACACGGUCCAGACUCCUACGGGAGGCAGCAGUGGGGAAUAUUGCGCAAUGGGCGGAAGCCUGACGCAGCGACGCCGCGUGAGGGAUGACGGCCUGG
rnacentral:rRNA from 1 species